rnacentral:rRNA from 1 species
GCGCAGCAGUCGCGAAAACUUUACAAUGUGCGAAAGCACGAUAAGGGAACUCUGAGUGCCUCCUAAGGAGGCUGUUCUGAUGUCUAAAAAGCAACAGAAGUAAGGGCUGGGUAAGACCGGUGCCAGCCGCCGCGGUAACACCGGCAGCCCAAGUGGUAGCCACGUUUAUUGGGUCUAAAGCGUUCGUAGCCGGCCAGGUAAGUUCCUUGGUAAAUUUAGCCGCUUAACGGUUAAGCUUUCAGGGAAUACUGCUUGGCUUGGGACUGGGAGAGGUCAGAGGUACUCCGGGGGUAGGGGUGAAAUCUAUUAAUCCCUGGGGGACCACCGGUAGCGAAGGCGUCUGACCAGACCAGGUCCGACGGUAAGGGACGAAGGCUAGGGGCGCGAACCGGAUUAGAUACCCCCGUA